UGGGGAAUUUUGGACAAUGGGCGAAAGCCUGAUCCAGCAAUGCCGCGUGAGUGAUGAAGGCCUUAGGGUUGUAAAGCUCUUUUACCAGGGAUGAUAAUGACAGUACCUGGAGAAUAAGCUCCGGCUAACUCCGUGCCAGCAGCCGCGGUAAUACGGAGGGAGCUAGCGUUGUUCGGAAUUACUGGGCGUAAAGCGUACGUAGGCGGUGACUCAAGUCAGAGGUGAAAGCCUGGAGCUCAACUCCAGAACUGCCUUUGAAACUAGGUCGCUAGAAUCACGGAGAGGUGAGUGGAAUUCCGAGUGUAGAGGUGAAAUUCGUAGAUAUUCGGAAGAACACCAGUGGCGAAGGCGGCUCACUGGACGUGUAUUGACGCUGAGGUACGAAAGCGUGGGGAGCAAACAGGAUUAGAUACCCUGGUAGUCCCUGAGCGGGCUGGCAAGGCGCAU
rnacentral:rRNA from 1 species